AAGGAAUAUUGGUCAAUGGAGGAAACUCUGAACCAGCCAUCCCGCGUGAAGGAUGAAGGGGCUCUGCCUUGUAAACUUCUUUUGAAUGGGACGAAAAAAGGGGAUUUAUCCUCGACUGACGGUACCAUUAGAAUAAGCACCGGCUAACUCCGUGCCAGCAGCCGCGGUAAUACGGAGGGUGCAAGCGUUAUCCGGAAUCACUGGGUUUAAAGGGUGCGUAGGCGGCUAAAUAAGUCAGUGGUGAAAGGCCGUGGCUUAACCAUGGGAUUGCCAUUGAUACUGUAUAGCUUGAAUGAGGAUGAGGUUGGCGGAAUGUGGCAUGUAGCGGUGAAAUGCUUAGAUAUGCCAUGGAACAUCGAUUGCGAGGGCAGCUGACUGGACCUGAAUUGACGCUGAGGCACGAAAGCGUGGGGAGCGAAC
rnacentral:rRNA from 1 species